UCACCCUUUCACUUUUUUUCUAGGUGGACCUAGAGCGAAGUAUUGUAUUGUGUGUCACAACUCGAGUUUUCGAUUAUACUCUAUAAUAUAAUGUUUUCCAACUUGUGUGUAACAAAAUAUGAGAAAAAUGUGCACAUUUUAUAUUUUAUUCUUGCAAUUUCCUCAUUACUAUAUUAUCCACCACACAGUACCUAAAUUCCUCCUCAAGUAUUCAUCCCCUCCCUGUUGGGUAAUACUGUUAUAAUAUAUUAUUUAUAU